rnacentral:lncRNA from 1 species
GGUAGAUUGUCGCAGUUGGUUGGUUUGCUAUUCUGCACUGAUGUUCCAGGAAUGGGCUUGCCCGUUUCGUCGUUGGCACACCAACAGUAGCCUAUGGAAAUAAUACCCAGCCAAGGACAAAAGCAAAAAGAGGUAUAGGAAACAAAACAAAAUAGCCCCAAGCUCCCCCCAUAAGAAUGCAGAAAAUAUGGGCAUCACAUCAGCCCGAAGCAGACGAAAACCGAUUCGACCUGGAACCAAAUUUUUCUUCAUCAAUCAGCUUGCCGUCAUAAGUUUCCAAGAUGGAUUAUUCUAUUUGCCAGGUGGGGAAUCGGAGCUGGCAAAACCGAACUCUAUAUACCUGGUCGGAUGGACAGUCUGGAAUUCAUGGCCGCCGAAUCCUCACCGCUGUCCCCUGAGUUGAGGAACAGGAACAAACGGAAGGAGACUACACAUUAUCAACGGGCAAGUCUUGGUCGCUACACAACAUACACACAAUCUAGCUUUCUAUUUUGAUUCGAUUUCUGGCUUGACUUACCUGAAUUUCCGCGAAUCGUCCGUCCUCGUUGCAUUCAGGAAUGAAAGUCUCGCCAGUAGGCGCCGAUUUUUUGCCCAGUCCACCAGCACUGCCGACGCCGCCCGCUUGGUGAGUCUCGUUCAAUCGCCGGGCUGUUCGCUGAGCCAACCGUCGCUCAGACAUACAACGUUUCUCGGCUCCUGUAAAAAUAACCAACCAACCAACCCAAGUCAAGAGAAAAGAAAGAAAAAGAAUGUCAAGAUGGAUAUGUUGUUGUUGUUAGACGUUGGUGAUGGGAAACAAAUUUACCGUGACAAGAUCCACGAUUACGAACCCGGACUGGAUGCCCUUCGCACCUGGCACGCUGCAACUCGCACCGGGAGCUAUACGUCCGGCCAUCUGAGCCGCAAACCGGUUCCAGGGCGGCCGGCGUAGAUGUUGUGGUCGUCGACGUGGUCGAUGCUGAACGUCCAGCGCUCUGGUUACUGCCGGAGCUGAAGAGUCCCAACUCUUCGCCGCACUGUUGCGUCAGCGUUUGGCAUUCAGCCGAGACCAUCGAAGGUGGCUGCAAAAGAAGACAAAAGUCGUUGUGAAUUAAUUUCAAUGGUGUCAUCACCUCCCCAAAAUUAGACGCUCUUUUGUUCCAUCUGUUUCUCUCGCCUUUCGACCGGCCAUUUCCGCCAUUGGACUUCGAAUUACUCCCGUGCAACUCUUUUCGGGAUUGAAUUUCUCUUUUUUAACAUCAUUUGGUUUCGUCACAAUCGCCCACCAAAGUCGGUUUCCUUUUGCCGGAAAUCUCUGCCCGUCAUCAGAGAAGACGGGGGCAUCUCUCCCAUACGUUUUUAUUUGAAUGCAAGUCCGGCCAGAAACAUUUUUGGGUUGUAAAAAAAAAAGAAGUUGAAGAGGGGAAAAUGUUUCUAUAUGUUUUGUUGGUGGCGGAAUGAUUUUGACAUGACGAGUGGGAAAGAAAAGCGGACGGCAUAAUAGUCUUGGGAGAAGAAAGAAGAAAGAGCCAAGUCACCUUUCAAGUCAAGAGGACAAGAAAAAUGUCUUGUGUGUGUCUAUAAUCUCUCGAGUUGAUAAAAACGUGAGCGACCAACAGCAGCAGCAGCACGAGGGGGUAGUCUGAAGAAAAUGAGCGCAGGUGGACAAUCUUAUGUUGGGCAUAUACGGAAACUUGCCCACAAGUGCCAUUCUCGAUAUAUUUCAUUCCGAAGGAGGCCAAAGGAGGGAAGACAAAAAUUCCCUCUUGUUUUUUACCCCCUAUUCUUCUUCUUUCUUUUUAUUCUUUAGGUCUUAUCCUGUUUAACUUCGUUUCCCCAUCGUCAAGAAUAAGAAAAAGGCCCGGCAGGUUGAAUAGGAGCCGAAAAAAAAGAAAAAAAAAACACCGAAGGAAGAACACCUGGGUUUCCCCUCCUCCGCUGGAAUGAAGAAGAAGAAGAACUUUUUCUUCUUCACAAGACCGCACCGCCAACAUCCUACUCCACACACACGUCCCCAAGAAAAAGAAAAAAAAGAAGAUGAAUAUCUGGACGAGACAGAACUUGUCCAUUCGCGUCACGUUUUCACAUCCGGAAUACCAUGACGGAAUGGAAUUUCGAAGAAUCUCUUCCAGACUGGAUUGCCUACAGUACCCUCCACCAAUAAUAGCCAAAAG